GGAGCCUUCAUGUCCUCAUAUGCGAAAUGGAGGGUACAACUGAGCAAGUGUGUGUACAGUGCUAUCUUGGACUCCAUGAAGUUCCAACAGAGGAAGGGUCUCCCUGUGUAGUUCAGGCUGCUUUGGACUCAUCAGCCUCCCGAGUGCUGGGAUUACAGGCAAGCACCACCACACCCAGCCAUGUUCUGCCACUCUGACAGAAGUUGGACCUCACUUCCCUUGGUAACCCCGAGAGUCUACACCUGAAACCACAGUGUCAGGCUGAUCAUGGACGCUCAGGAUUGAACUUUUCUGAGAAAGAUGUACGUGUCCAUCAUGCAGAGUCCUGUUGCAGCAAAGAGACAUCCAAGUACAUGAACUAUACACAUUGAAUCUCUUAAAACAUCACUAUGUUUCAUACAUGCUUAAUGUUGCCAACUCUGGGAUGAAAGGCAGAAUUGAAAAGAUCGUGUUAUUUCAUAUUUGUGUUAGCUGUACCAGUGGGUGCCCAAUAAAUAUCAUCUCCAUAUUAAUAAAGGCUACAGAGCCCACCAAAAAAAAUGGAUGAGUCCAACAAUACUAAAG
rnacentral:lncRNA from 1 species